GAGGUUGUGGCUCAGUGGUAGAGCGCUCACUUUGCAUGUGCAAGGCUCUGGGUUCGAUCCUCAGCACCACA
rfam:Ictidomys tridecemlineatus contig003025, whole genome shotgun sequence.